UACGUAGGGGGCAAGCGUUGUCCGGAUUUAUUGGGCGUAAAGCGCGUGUAGGCGGUCCGGUAAGUCCGCUGUGAAAGCCAGGGGCUCAACCCUUGGAUGCCGGUGGAUACUGUCGGGCUUGAGUACGGAAGAGGCGAGUGGAAUUCCUGGUGUAGCGGUGAAAUGCGCAGAUAUCAGGAGGAACACCAAUUGCGAAGGCAGCUCGCUGGGACGUUACUGACGCUGAGACGCGAAAGCGUGGGGAGCAAACAGG
rnacentral:rRNA from 1 species